AUUCCGGUUGAUCCUGCCGGAGGUCAUUGCUAUUGGAGUCCGAUUUAGCCAUGCUAGUUGUACGAGUUGAGACUCGUAGCAGAUAGCUCAGUAACACGUGGCCAAACUACCCUAUAGAUCCAGACAACCUCGGGAAACUGAGGCUAAUCCGGAAUAGGGCUCUCAUCCUGGAGUGGAGAGAGCCUGAAACGCUCCGGCGCUAUAGGAUGUGGCUGCGGCCGAUUAGGUAGACGGUGGGGUAACGGCCCACCGUGCCAGUAAUCGGUACGGGUUGUGAGAGCAAGAGCCCGGAGACGGUAUCUGAGACAAGAUACCGGGCCCUACGGGGCGCAGCAGGCGCGAAACCUUUACACUGCACGCCAGUGCGAUAAGGGGACUCCAAGUGCGAGGGCAUAUAGUCCUCGCUUUUUGCGACCGUAAGGUGGUCGCGGAAUAAGUGCUGGGCAAGACCGGUGCCAGCCGCCGCGGUAAUACCGGCAGCACGAGUGAUGACCGCUGUUAUUGGGCCUAAAGCGUCCGUAGCUGGCCGCACAAGUCUAUCGGGAAAUCUCUCCGCUUAACGGAGAGGCGUCCGGUGGAAACUGUGUGGCUUGGGACCGGAAGACCAGAGGGGUACGUCUGGGGUAGGAGUGAAAUCCCGUAAUCCUGGACGGACCACCGGUGGCGAAAGCGCCUCUGGAAGACGGAUCCGACGGUGAGGGACGAAAGCUCGGGUCACGAACCGGAUUAGAUACCCGGGUAGUCCGAGCUGUAAACGAUGUCUGCUAGGUGUGACACAGGCUACGAGCCUGUGUUGUGCCGUAGGGAAGCCGUGAAGCAGACCGCCUGGGAAGUACGUCCGCAAGGAUGAAACUUAAAGGAAUUGGCGGGGGAGCACUACAACCGGAGGAGCCUGCGGUUUAAUUGGACUCAACGCCGGACAUCUCACCAGCAUCGACAAUGUGCAGUGACGGUCAGUAUGAUGAGCUUACCUGAGCCAUUGAGAGGAGGUGCAUGGCCGCCGUCAGCUCGUACCGUGAGGCGUCCUGUUAAGUCAGGCAACGAGCGAGACCCGCACCCUUAAUUGCCAGCAGCACCCUUGUGGUGGCUGGGUACAUUAAGAGGACUGCCAGUGCCAAACUGGAGGAAGGAACGGGCAACGGUAGGUCAGUAUGCCCCGAAUGUGCUGGGCGACACGCGGGCUACAAUGGCCAAGACAGUGGGAUGCAACGCCGAAAGGCGACGCUAAUCUCCGAAACUUGGUCGUAGUUCGGAUUGAGGGCUGAAACUCGCCCUCAUGAAGCUGGAUUCGGUAGUAAUCGCGCCUCAGAAGGGCGCGGUGAAUACGUCCCUGCUCCUUGCACACACCGCCCGUCAAAGCACCCGAGUGGGGUCCGGAUGAGGCCCGGUUUCCGGGUCGAAUCUGGGCUCCGCAAGGGGGCUUAAGUCGUAACAAGGUAGCCGUAGGGGAAUCUGCGGCUGGAUCACCUCCA
rnacentral:rRNA from 1 species